CCUACGGGAAGCAGCAGUAGGGAAUAUUGGUCAAUGGGUGAGAGCCUGAACCAGCCAUGCCGCGUGCAGGAAGACGGCCUUAUGGGUUGUAAACUGCUUUUGUCAGGGGAUAAAAUUUCCUUGCGAGGAAAAUUGAAGGUACCUGGUGAAUAAGCCACGGCUAACUACGUGCCAGCAGCCGCGGUAAUACGUAGGUGGCAAGCGUUGUCCGGAUUUAUUGGGUUUAAAGGGUGCGUAGGCGGCCUAUUAAGUCAGUGCUGAAAUAUUCCGGCUUAACCGGGAGGGUGGCAUUGAUACUGAUGGGCUAGAGUACAGAUGAGGUAGGCGGAAUUGACGGUGUAGCGGUGAAAUGCUUAGAUAUCGUCAAGAACACCUAUAGCGAAGGCAGCUUACUAGGCUGUAACUGACGCUGAGGCACGAAAGUGUGGGGAUCAAACAGGAUUAGAUACCCUGGUAGUCCACACUGUAAACGUUGAUUACUCGCUGUGUGCGAUAUACAGUACGCGGCCAAGCGAAAGCGCUAAGUAAUCCACCUGGGGAGUACGCCGGCAACGGUGAAACUCAAAGAAAUUGACGG
rnacentral:rRNA from 1 species